AGAGUUUGAUCAUGGCUCAGGAUGAACGCUAGCGGCAGGCUUAAUACAUGCAAGUCGAACGGGAUUCGGUGUAGCAAUACAUUGAUGAGAGUGGCGCACGGGUGCGUAACGCGUAUGCAACCUACCUUUAACAGGUGAAUAGCCCCGAGAAAUCGGGAUUAAUACACCGUAACAUUGCGGGAUGGCAUCAUUCUGCAAUUAAAGAUUUAUCGGUUAAAGAUGGGCAUGCGUGACAUUAGCUAGUUGGUGAGGUAACGGCUCACCAAGGCGACGAUGUCUAGGGGUCCUGAGAGGGUUAUCCCCCACACUGGUACUGAGACACGGACCAGACUCCUACGGGAGGCAGCAGUAAGGAAUAUUGGUCAAUGGGCGCAAGCCUGAACCAGCCAUGCCGCGUGCAGGAAGACGGCCCUAUGGGUUGUAAACUGCUUUUGUCAGGGAAUAAACCUGUCUACGAGUAGGCAGCUGAAGGUACCUGAAGAAUAAGCAUCGGCUAACUCCGUGCCAGCAGCCGCGGUAAUACGGAGGAUGCAAGCGUUAUCCGGAUUCAUUGGGUUUAAAGGGUGCGCAGGCGGAUUGAUAAGUCAGGGGUGAAAUCCCACAGCUCAACUGUGGAACUGCCCUUGAUACUGUUAGUCUAGAGUAUAGUUGAAGUUGGCGGAAUGUGUCAUGUAGCGGUGAAAUGCUUAGAUAUGACACAGAACACCGAUCGCGAAGGCAGCUAGCUAAGCUAUAACUGACGCUCAUGCACGAAAGCGUGGGGAUCAAACAGGAUUAGAUACCCCGGUAGU
rnacentral:rRNA from 1 species